rnacentral:rRNA from 1 species
AUUGAACGCUGGCGGCGUGCCUAACACAUGCAAGUCGAGCGGCAGCGCGGGAGCAAUCCUGGCGGCGAGCGGCGGACGGGUGAGUAACGCUUGGGAAUCUGCCUGUUAGUGGGGGACAACCCGGGGAAACGUCGGGCUAAUACCGCAUACGCACUACGGUGGAAAGCCGGGGACCGCAAGGCCUGGCGCUAACAGAUGAGCCCAAGUCGGAUUAGCUAGUUGGUAGGGUAACGGCCUACCAAGGCGACGAUCCGUAACUGUCUGAGAGGACGACCAGUCACACCGGAACUGAGACACGGUCCGGGACUCCUACGGGAGGCAGCAGUGGGGAAUAUUGGACAAUGGGGGAAACCCGUGAUCCAGCGACGCCGCGUGGGUGAAGAAGGCCUGCGGGUUGUAAAGCCC